AACUCCUACAUGAUCACACAAACUGAUUCAGUUCUCUGGUCAGGGAAAACCAGCAGGUCAACUAGCACGUAGGAACUUCCUGUAUUCGGACACCAGACACUUUUAAAGAGCAGACAAACAUUCUUCUAUUUAAAAUCCUUUUUCUUAAACAUUUUUUAUUUGUUUUAAAGGUGUUGAACACAAGUUUGAUCAGUACAUCUGCAGUGGUCUCUGGUAGAAAUUAAUGCCUUGCAAGCCGUACUCAGGGCAAAAAAAGCCCCAAAGCACCUUGAUCAGCACGGAUAAGUCUGCUGCAGCAAAGAAUGGCACGACAUGGCAGAAUUUGGAGUCUCACAUCCUGAUAUUUUGACACCAUGGAUUAGAAAACAGCAAUGUGACGCUAUCACUGACUUGUAAUAUUGAUGUUUUAUCUCCACAAAUAACACAAGCCUAGAUGAGCUUCUGAUGUGUGGCGGAGUUGCUAAUGCUAACAGUUAGCUUCUGCUAGACAAGACAUUUUCUGCUGUUUCUGGACGCCCACAACAGCCCUCCCUGUUGUGAGUGAACAUGGGUGAGUCCAUAAAUGUUAAGUGACAGUGUGAUGUAGAUCUGUCAGGAUUUUCAAAUCCUAGAGAUUCACUGUCUAUUUUCUAUCAGAAGCUAAUGCAGGAGAUAGGUGUAGGAGACUAUUUUUAUGUUCAGCUUGCAUGAAAAACUCCAAGUGACCGAUUAUAAUCAGAAAAUAUCAUUAAAAUGUUUUUUUUAGUAUUCACACCUUUUAUUAUUACAUUCAUAAUCAACUCAAUAAGCCUGUCAUGGAGGAACAAUGCCGUCUGUCUGCUAGAGUAUUUCUGUGUGCUUGUUCGGGUAAUAAAUAGUAAUAAGACUAGAUGUUUUGGAUUUGAAUCAGACUUUUUUUUCACAGGAAUCAAACCAGUAGUAACAGAAGCGAAGAUCAGACACGGUGUGGAGGAAAUCGCACAGUCAUUGUGAUCAAAGUUUCACCACUCACCUUGUUACCAGAGAAGCCAACAAACUCCAGCAGUUUGAGCGUUCGCGUGGGCAGCAUGGAAAUCAUCUAGAGGAAGUAGACAGAAGGAGUAAAUUAAAGAGUAGGACCAACAGGGCAGGAAUGGUCAGAACUGUUUCAACUGGUUUACCAGACUGUGUGGCUGCCUGCUGACCUGAAGGAAGGAAGGACAGUGUCCUCUUACAGGCAACGUGAGGUUCAUUGACGUUGAGAA